AACGUAGGAGACAAACGUUAUCCGGAGUUACUGGGCGUAAAGGGCGUGUAGGUGGUAUCGUAAGUCUGGCGUGAAAUUUCUCGGCUUAACCGAGGCAGGUCGUCGGAUACUGCGAGGCUAGAGGACGGUAGAGGCGUGUGGAAUUCCGGGUGUAGUGGUGAAAUGCGUAGAGAUCUGGAGGAACACCAGUGGCGAAGGCGACACGCUGGGCCGUACCUGACACUGAUGCGCGACAGCAUGGGGAGCAAACAGG
rnacentral:rRNA from 1 species